GUAUGUCAGUGUGCAAACUUCUCUGAUGAGCCUCAUCCAAAAUUAUGAUAGAGUACUUCCUCAAUAAGAAAUCACUCUGAAUUCACGAAAGGCAAAUAUUGAGAACAGUUUAUUCCAAAAGAAAACAACAAAAGCCACUUAAUGACAUGAUCAUUAGUUCAAUACGUCCAAAGUUCUAAUUAAAACCAUAUAGAAAACCGAAGUGUAUUUUCCUAACAUCUAACUUACCAAUGGGAACAACAGAUUGACUCAUUCUGGUUCAUGUUUAUAACAACAACAAACAACACCAGGGGCAAGGUUUAAGGGGGGAGAAAAAAAAAAAAAAAAAAAAGGUCAAACAUCAGCAUUAAGCAAGAGAAUAUUACAACAUGAAUUAAAAUAUAAUUCAACAGCCUUGACUAGGUCUACAGUUUGCAGCAGUCAUUGUCCCCUGCAGUGUGAGAAUAGUUGUUUGUGAUUACAACUGGAGUUCCCAUUCCUCAUUGUUCAUUAUCUGCUUCUCGUUAAAUUUCUUGUUACAUUCAAAAGAGCAAUAGAACGAAUGCAGUCAUUAAA